CUACGGGUCGCUGCAGUCGAGAAGCUUCGGCAAUGGACGAAAGUCUGACCGAGCGACGCCGCGUGAGUGAAGAAGGUCUUCGGAUCGUAAAACUCUGUCAGGGGGGAAGAAACACGGAUUGGCUAAUACCCUUUCCGCUUGACGGUACCCCCAGAGGAAGCUCCGGCUAACUCCGUGCCAGCAGCCACGGUAAUACGGAGGGAGCAAACGUUGUUCGGAAUCACUGGGCGUAAAGGGCUCGUAGGCGGCUUCCUAAGUCAGUGGUGAAAACCUGUGGCUCAACCACAGGCCUGCCCCUGAAACUGGGAAGCUUGAGGCUGUGAGGGGAGAGGGGAAUUCCUGGUGUAUCGGUGAAAUGAGUUGAUAUCAGGAGGAACACCCGUGGCGAAGGCGCCUCUCUGGCACAGUACUGACGCUGAGGAGCGAAAGCGUGGGGAGCAAACAGGAUUAGAUACCCGCGUAGUC
rnacentral:rRNA from 1 species